AAAUAGAAAUAGCAGUAAGAAAAGAAAACUUCCAUCAGAGCCGGUAUGUAGUGCUUUGUGGCCUACCUUGGCGGUCUAAGAGAACUAGAAUAAGAAGUGAAUAUGUUUUUUUAUGAUGAAUAAUUGUUCAUUCGAAAGUUCUUUCUUUUUAAAGAAGGAAGAGCUGAUGUAUCCUGUAACGUACAGUUCGAUACUUACACUUUAGCGUGUAAGUGAAUUGACAGGUCCGCGCUGCGCGCAACACUGUCUGAGUUCUCGUUAAACAAUAAACGAACCGACAGGUUCUUUCUAAUCGAUCACUCGAACACGACAUAAGUCUUUUUUAUUAUCUCCCGCGAGCACCCCAUUAGUCUCGGUACGUUUCGGUAGUUUAACAGGAUAUAUUAUAUGCAAAUUGAAAAUGAUGAAAAUUUUCUGGUUUUAUGGCAGCAAGUUUAAAUUCCCACUAUUAGGGGUCCACUCAGGGGGGAAGACACUUUAAUCAUUUUACAAAUCAUUCAAAAGAUUUCAAAAAAAUUCAAAAGAUUUAAAAUGAUUCGGCGAGAUUGAAUCUUUUUUGACUAUUUUCUCGCCUUAUUGACGUUUUUGUUCAGUGUGGCGAGAUUGAUAAUAAAAAAAAGUUUAAAAAAAUCAAAACAUAAACAAAGACGGUAUUCGGAAUAUUCGUGCCGGUCACAUUUAGUUACACACCCCCGCAGGGUAGUAAUAAAUCCAUUGGGAAUAGUAUAGCAGUGCCGGCACCGCGACCAACAACUCCAGCAAACACCAUCACCUGAUUGCAUCUUCUAGUCAAGCCUCUGGUGGGCUCCUGGGAAGCAGUGCUAAUGGCGGCAGUUUGAACAUGAACGGUGGCCACACCGUGGUGCUCUCGGAUCUGGACUCGAGCGACGAUAAUCAUCUGAGCUUCUUGGAACCGAUAAUCACGAUAAUCAUCUGAGCAAAAAUGGAACCGAUAUAUUCGACUACGAUUGUGAUUACGAUAAUGAAGAGAAGUUCAACUAUCAGGCCCGCGCUGCAGCUGCCGUAGCAGCAUCGACCAAUGCCACCAGCUCUUGCACUCCCGGUGGGGCAAAUGCGGCUGGUUCUGCUGCUGUUCGCAGCGGUAGCAGCAAUAGCAAUAGCAGCAGCAAAAAUCGCGUUUCGUUCGAUGCCAAUAUAAGUGAUUUCCAGCAAGUUCCUCUUAUUGGAGACUUCGAUAUGGAUGGAAGGGGCCUGCUGAAAACCCGAAGGUCCAACAGUCUUACCACGACGGUGAGCAGUGCAUGCGGACUUUCGUUUGGCGAGCUGCAUCAGCAAAAGCAUAACAACGAAUAUUUAUCAUCGGAAAAUCUAGCUAACCUGCAGCUUCUGCAGAAUAAACCAAGGAGUUUCUCCUAAACCAUGGACAGUCCUCGUUCGUCGGUACAGUUUGCUAUUGCGAAUGAAAUGAUUAAUGGCUGGCUACCAGGGCCUGACACAAGCUCCCUAAAUUUCUGAGGGCCAUGCCACCUAAAUUUCCGGUGGACUAUGCUGCGCGAAUUUGCUUACAGUCCCUCGCUGGCACUCGGACGAUGAUCAGCUGCCCCUAACAUGGGGAACAGAUGCUGUUGUGAGCCGCUUCUAACAUGGAGAACAGACGCUCGUUCAGACUUGCACCCAAGAGAGGAGCAAACUCCCUUUCACGUUCCCUGACACCGUACAACCAUAGUUCCCACCGGGGUUGGUUACCCAAUGCUCCCUAAGGUUGCUCGUACCCCGGCCAGCACCACGGGGAGGUAGGGAUAGGCGUUGCUGAGAAAGAGGCUGAGAACCGCGAGAUGGAGUCUAUUUUGUUCCUUCAGGGAAGAAAUCACAUCAAUCAACAAAAAGAUGGAACAGAUCUUUCGAAAUCCAGAAAAGGGAGUAUAUAUGAUCCUUGAUGGCCGGAAGGGUCGUUGCCAAUCCACCAUCCACAAGUUGCAGAUCUUCGAGAAUCCUAAUGACCGGAACAGCUGUUUGACGGGUUCGAGGAAAUAUCCGUUACCAUGAUUGCGAAGGAGCUUUUUUUUAAAAGAUUCAACAACUGACCGCAGUACAAGAGGACAGCGCAUGUGUUGUGAAUAAUGAAUAAAUGGCACAAUUUCUAUUGAUAAGUAGAUAAG